rnacentral:rRNA from 1 species
AGCGUGGGUAGCAAAACGGAUUAGAUACCCGUGUAGUCCACGCCGUAAACGAUCCCUGUUAGAUGUAUGUUUUGUCUGUUUAUUUUUCCCCUUCGGGGGAAGGGUAAAGGGCAAGAUGUGUGUCGUAGUUAACGCGUUAAACAGGGCGCCUGGGAAGUACGGCCGCAAGGCUAAAACCCAAAGGAAUUGACGGGGACCCGCACAAGCAGUGGAGCGCCUGGUUUAAUUCGAUGAUCAGCGAAGAACCUCACCUAGGCUUGAACUGUAGCUGCAAGCUCCCAGAAACGGGAGAAUCCUUCGAGGGUGCUACAGAGGUGCUGCAUGGCUGUCGUCAGCUCGUGUCGUGAGAUGUAGGGUUAAGUCCCACAACGAGCGCAACCCCUAUUCAGUGUUAUAAUUACUCUGAAGACUGCCCUGUCCAAACGGGGAGGAAGGAGGGGACGACGUCCAGUCAUCAUGUCCCUUAUGUCUAGGGCUACACAGACGCUACAAUGGCCGGUACAAUGGGUUGCCAAACCGCGAGGUGGAGCCAAUCCCAUCAAAGCCGGUCCCAGUUCAGAUUGCAGUCUGCAACUCGACUGCAUGAAGUCGGAAUUGCUAGUAAUCGCGAAUCAGCACGUCGCGGUGAAUACGUUCUCGGGUCUUGUACACACCGCCCGUCAGGGCACGGGAGUCGCUCUUGCUCGAAGUUCCCGAAUAAUUCGGGACCGAAAGUUAAGGGUGGCAACCAGGCUUAAGUCGUAACAAGGUAGCCGUAGA